ACGUUAACGAACGAGACCUCGACCUGCUAAAUAGUGUGGCGAAUCCCAGAUUCGUACACGCUUCUUAGAGGGACUAUCGGUGUGUAGCCGAUGGAAGUUCGAGGCAAUAACAGGUCUGUGAUGCCCUUAGAUGUUCUGGGCCGCACGCGCGCUACACUGAUACGUUCAUCGAGCUUACAACCUUGACUGAGAGGUCUGGGUAAUCUUUUAAAAUCGUAUCGUGCUGGGGAUAGAUUAUUGUAAUUUUUAAUCUUCAACGAGGAAUUCCUAGUAAACGCGAGUCAUCAGCUCGCAUUGAUUACGUCCCUGCCCUUUGUACACACCGCCCGUCGCUAGUACCGAUUGAAUGGUUC
rnacentral:rRNA from 1 species